GAUGAAGAACGCAGCGAAAUGCGAUAAGUAGUGUGAAUUGCAGAAUUCAGUGAAUCAUCGAAUCUUUGAACGCACAUUGCGCCCCUUGGUAUUCCAUGGGGCAUGCCUGUUCGAGCGUCAUUUGUACCCUCAAGCUUUGCUUGGUGUUGGGUGUUUGUCCCGCGUUGCGCGUGGACUCGCCUUAAAGCGAUUGGCAGCCGGCAUAUUGGCCUUGGAGCGCAGCACAUUUUGCGCUUCUAGUCAUGAAUGUUGGCGUCCAUUAAGCCUAUACAUUUGCUCUUGACCUCGGAUCAGGUAGGGAUACCCGCUGAACUUAAGCAUAUCAAUAGCGGAGGA
rnacentral:misc_RNA from 1 species